AUAGGGAAGCUGCAUGCUUUUGGUGUCCUACAUGGUUCCUCUGGACUGAAUAUUAAGCCUAGACUUAGACAAUGGAGCUUAGGGGACCUCGCACAACUCAGUUCUUCAGGCUACAAAUUUCUUAUCUCCUUGCUUUUACUUCCUGUAUUUCAUUCUCAUUUUAGUAAUUUGGAGAUCAAGUAAAAUAGUACACAACAUACAAUAGUAUUGUUUAUACAGUAAACAAUAGUAAAUAAUAAAAGGAACAGUAAGAUCAGUGCUCAGUCCUGUGUCAAGUCUGGUUUCUGUGGGUAAUUAACUGAGAGAAUCGGCAGCAUCUCUGAACCCCAUAUCAUGCAGCUCCUUGGUACUUUCUUUGACUCUGAUAUUUCUCUUGUUACCUGAAACAUGAACAGUCAAAGCUCUGGAUUUCCUUCUCUUGUUUUCUUUUACAGAGAAUCUGAACUACUAGCAAGUUAUAAACAUAAUGUAUCUGAUGUUUGUGACAAAAGAAAGUCCCUACAACCUGGGUCCUUGUUUAUUACAACACUGUCUUAAAGAAAACAGAAAGUGCCAAGGAUCUGUUGCUGAACAUGUUAUGCCUACAAAAAGAAAGAUGCUCAAAGGAACUGACUGACUCAACAGAAGAAGUGUCUCAGAAAUGGCCCCCGUUAGCGUCCUGCUGUCCUGACAUCACCUAAUGUCUUCAAAAAGAUACUUUUUAUCCUUAGAGACCUCCUAACUGUACCAAUUCCUCCAAGUCACAGGUCCUAUCUAUCUCAGAGCAGUUGUCAGUGAUCUCCAUGGCUUCAAGGGUUUACAGAGAGAAGACAUAAACUUCACUUCUCCUUAAUGAAUUGCAUAGCAUAAAAAGGCCAUGUAUGGGACCAUUUGACUGUUAAUUCAUGAACCACCAUCAUAAAGUGAUAGUAUAAUUUUAGCAACACAUUCAUUUUAGGAGUAUUUUUUAUGACAUAUUUAAAACUUGGGCUAGACUUGCUUUGGUUGACAAGAACCUUGGCAUGGUAAAGAUAAACAUAAAGGUG